CCCGGUCAAAAAAAGUGUGAUUACAGGUGCACAGACUAUGACCGGUCUGCUAGGAGGUGUCUGGGUACAUGUCUGUGUGUCUGGGAAACUCUUACGGUUCAGUUUGGUGAAGCUGAACAUGCCGGUCUGCUAGGAGGUGUCUGGGUACAUGUCUGUGUGUCUGGGAAACUCUUACGGUUCAGUCUGGUGAAGCUGAACAUGCCGGUCUGCUAGGAGGUGUCUGGGUACAUGUCUGUGUGUCUGGGAAACUCUUACGGUUCAGUCUGGUGAAGCUGAACAUGCCGGUCUGCUAGGAGGUGUCUGGGUACAUGUCUGUGUGUCUGGGAAACUCUUACGGUUCAGUCUGGUGAAGCUGAACAUGCCGGUCUGCUAGGAGGUGUAUUGGUACAUGUCUGU